UUAAUUGAAACCAAAAAGAGGUAUAUCACUGUUAAUGAUAUAAGUGAACUAAGUUCCAAUUAAA
rnacentral:tRNA from 1 species